AUGGGCAGCCUGGCCCCCCUGGACAGAAGGGGCAGCCGGGGGUUCCUGGGGUUCCAGGACCACCAGGUUCUCCAGGGCCACCAGGAAUCUCCAUCAAGGGUGAACCAGGGGAUUCAGGAAUCAGGGGUCCCCGUGGGAGGAGUGGCCUCAAAGGUGACAGAGGAGACACAGGAGAGCCAGGAAAACCUGGUUUGCCAGGCCCUGUGGGGCUCCAUGGGGUUCCUGGACUGCCUGGACCACAAGGAGAAAAGGGAAUGGCAGGAAUUGGCAUUCCUGGCACUGCUGGCAUGAAGGGGGAGGAAGGAGAGCAGGUGGGCUGAGAUUUGCAUUAAAAUCCUCUCAGAGUGUUCAGCGUCUCCAAAGUCUCCUCCAAUAUUUAGGAUUUCCUUGGGAUCCCGUGGUUCCACAUGGAGAGGGUGAGAGAAGGGAAGAUUUAGGGUUUAAAAUCAGAGAUUUCACUGUUUCCUCUGUUGUUUUCAGGGAAUGAUGGGACCUCCAGGAGCACCAGGACCAAAGGUGGGUGCUGAAAGCCUGAACCCCAGUUGCUGGGCCUGGAAUUCAGGUUCCAAGGAAAUUUUCUGUCCCUAACCAGCAUCAUAAUGAAUCAUCAUAGUAAUUUCUGUGGGAAUUAUUGGAU
rnacentral:lncRNA from 1 species